CCCUUAGAUGUUCUGGGCUGCACGCGCGCUACACUGAUGCGUUCAACGAGUGUAUCACCUUGCCCGAUAGGGUUGGGUAAUCUUUUGAACACGCAUCGUGAUGGGGAUAGAUUAUUGCAAUUAUUAAUCUUCAACGAGGAAUUCCUAGUAAUGAUGAAUCAUCAGUUCAUCGUGAUUACGUCCCUGCCCUUUGUACACACCGCCCGUCGCUCCUACAGAUUGAAUGGUCCGGUGAAAUCUCGGGACGGCGGCUUGGUCGCUUGCGUCCGACUGCUGAAACUUGAUUAAACCAUAUCAUUUAGAGGAAGGUGAAGUCGUAACA
rnacentral:rRNA from 1 species